CCCAUCUCAAAGGGGUGCUUUUUUCACGAAAGGCUGAGAUUAUACCCAAUGAACCUGGGCGGGUAAUGCCGCCAAGGGAUUGCGCAAGGCGCAUCU
rnacentral:ncRNA from 1 species